ACUCCUACGGGAGGCAGCAGUGAGGAAUAUUGCGCAAUGGGCGAAAGCCUGACGCAGCGACGCCGCGUGGGGGAAGAAGGUUCUCGGAUUGUAAACCCCUUUUAGGAGGAAAGAUGGGGUGGGUAACCACCCGGACGGUACCUCCAGAAAAAGCCACGGCUAACUUCGUGCCAGCAGCCGCGGUAAUACGAAGGUGGCGAGCGUUGUUCGGAUUUACUGGGCGUAAAGAGCACGUAGGCGGUUUAGUAAGCCCCUUGGGAAAGCUCCGGGCUCAACCCGGAAAGGUCGAAGGGGACUGCUAAGCUAGAGGGCGGGAGAGGAGCGCGGAAUUCCCG
rnacentral:rRNA from 1 species